UUAGAAUGAUGAACUUAAUCUUUGGUCCGUGUUUAUGAGGUGGACUCAAGACCCACCGCGUGAGUGACAAAGGAGAUUUAAAUCUAUUUGCUGACAAA
rnacentral:snoRNA from 1 species